CCUGCAAGUAAAUCUCUGGGAUUUUUCGAGGCAGAGCGAUGACAUGAUGUCAGAAUUUUGAUUUGCUUUAAUUUAAUUUUUGCGCUGAGACUACUGAAUUUGCAUUCAAUGCCUGGCAUAUUUUUAUUCCGAAAAGGACCUGAGAACUAAUAUAUUUCCCUACAAGAACAUAAACAAAUAUGGCCGACGAUUCGAAGAUCAGCGUUGCUCGUGUUUGACUAUUUCAGUCAUAGUUUUCAACAUGGCGUCUCGUCACUUACUCAACAUGGAAAAUAAGGGAUAUUCUGGCGCGUUGGGAAGUUUUUUGAUGGGAGGAAAUGGCAAUUUUACAGGACAUUUGGACCCUUCGAACUCUGUAGCAGUCAAUUCUAUCGAGAGCAGUUGACUUUAUUGAUGCACUUUCCUGUAAUAGGCGAGUGUUUGGGAUGGAGAACGACGGAUUUUGAAGAACUGUAUGGCGACCUAGGUCAAUGAUCAAUGACAAAAGAACUGGCUGAGGAAUUACUCCAACUCUAAUGAUGCAAUUACAAGGAACAGAAUACCAAAAUCCUUCCUUUAAUAACUCUUGAUACAAAUUUUCAGAGUGGGGUAAAACAUGCGAAUCAACGCAACUGCCGAAGCCAAGCCUAGUUUCCAUCAAAACUGGAUACGAAUGGAUUUUUAUGAACAAAGAGAGUCGAAACCGCUCUUUAUAGUUCUAUCAUAUUGGUUUGAAAAAAAAGCCGACAUGUGGACUUGGUUGAGUGGAAGACCGCUGACUAUUUUGCUAACAGGGGAAAAAAAAAAAACCAGCCAACACGUAAGAGAGACGUGGCUG